rnacentral:lncRNA from 1 species
CUAAAUGAAAAAGGUAGGGCCAAGUCAGUACUAACAGAUUCCUUUAAUUUAUUGAUAGAAUCAGUGGAAUUUUUAACUAUAUGCCAACAGUAAAAGUUUAACAUAAUUAGCAAAAAUUCUGACCCUAGAUUUCCUUGACAACAUGUUCCAUGCCAACAGCAUUCUGUUGUUGUGCUAGCAGAGCAAGCCAGAACUCCUAGACACUUGUCUUCAGGAACGAUGGGACUGAGCUGUGACUUCCGUAAUGAGGGAGAACAGGAAAUACUGCAGGGCUGGAAACGUUUUCGUACAACACAGACAAGCACCAGACUGAUAAUACCACCAAGGAGCUCCUGGUUUUCUCGUGAGCCUCAGCUGAGGAAGAAAGGAUGA